AGUGAACGCUGGCGGUAGGCCUAACACAUGCAAGUCGAACGGCAGCACAGUAAGAGCUUGCUCUUACGGGUGGCGAGUGGCGGACGGGUGAGGAAUACAUCGGAAUCUACUUUUUCGUGGGGGAUAACGUAGGGAAACUUACGCUAAUACCGCAUACGACCUACGGGUGAAAGCAGGGGAUCUUCGGACCUUGCGCGAUUGAAUGAGCCGAUGUCGGAUUAGCUAGUUGGCGGGGUAAAGGCCCACCAAGGCGACGAUCCGUAGCUGAUCUGAGAGGAUGAGCGGCCAAGCGGGAAAUGAGACACGGACCAGACUCCUACGGGAGGCAGCAGUAGGGAAUCUUCCGCAAUGGGCGAGAGUGUGACGGAGCAAUGCGGCGUGAGAGAUGAAGGUCUUAGGAUCGUAAAAAUCUGUUAUUAGGGAAGAACAAAUGUGUAAGUAAAUAUGCACGUCUUGACGGUACCUAAUAAGAAAGACAAGGCUAACUACGUG
rnacentral:rRNA from 1 species